GACGGAUGGGGCUAGCGUUGUUCGGAAUUACUGGGCGUAAAGGGCGCGUAGGCGGCCACUUAAGUUAGACGUGAAAGCCCUAGGCUUAACCUAGGAACUGCGUUUAAUACUGGGUGGCUAGAGUUCGGUAGAGGAAAGCGGAAUUCCUAGUGUAGAGGUGAAAUUCGUAGAUAUUAGGAAGAACACCAGAGGCGAAGGCGGCUUUCUGGACCGACACUGACGCUGAGGCGCGAAAGCGUGGGGAGCAAACAGG
rnacentral:rRNA from 1 species